rnacentral:lncRNA from 1 species
AUGUUAUUCACUGUGUCAUUCUGUCUCCUGGAAGGUUAUUCACUGUGUCAUUCUGUCUCCUGGAAGGUUAUUCACUGUGUCAUUCUGUCUCCUGGAAGGUUAUUCACUGUGUCAUUCUGUCUCCUGGAAGGUUAUUCACUGUGUCAUUCUGUCUCCUGGAAGGUUAUUCACUGUGUCAUUCUGUCUCCUGGAAGGUUAUUCACUGUGUCAUUCUGUCUCCUGGAAUGUUAUUCACUGUGUCAUUCUGUCUCCUGGAAGGUUAUUCACUGUGUCAUUCUGUCUCCUGGAAGGUUAUUCACUGUGUCAUUCUGUCUCCUGGAAGGUUAUUCACUGUGUCAUUCUGUCUCCUGGAAGGUUAUUCACUGUGUCAUUCUGUCUCCUGGAAUGUUAUUCACUGUGUCAUUCUGUCUCCUGGAAGGUUAUUCACUGUGUCAUUCUGUCUCCUGGAAGGUUAUUCACUGUGUCAUUCUGUCUCCUGGAAGGUUCUUCACUGUGUCAUUCUGUCUCCUGGAAGGUUAUUCACUGUGUCAUUCUGUCUCCUGGAAGGUUCUUCACUGUGUCAUUCUGUCUCCUGGAAGGUUAUUCACUGUGUCAUUCUGUCUCCUGGAAGGUUAUUCACUGUGUCAUUCUGUCUCCUGGAAGGUUAUUCACUGUGUCAUUCUGUCUCCUGGAAGGUUAUUCACUGUGUCAUUCUGUCUCCUGGAAGGUUCUUCACUGUGUCAUUCUGUCUCCUGGAAGGUUCCUCACUGUGUCAUUCUGUCUCCUGGAAGGUGGUUCACUGUGUCAUUCUGUCUCCUGGAAGGUUCUUCACUGUGUCAUUCUGUCUCCUGGAAGGUUAUUCACUGUGUCAUUCUGUCUCCUGGAAGGUGGUUCACUGUGUCAUUCUGUCUCCUGGAAGGUUAUUCACUGUGUCAUUCUGUCUCCUGGAAGGUUCCUCACUGUGUCAUUCUGUCUCCUGGAAGGUUAUUCACUGUGUCAUUCUGUCUCCUGGAAGGUUAUUCACUGUGUCAUUCUGUCUCCUGGAAGGUUAUUCACUGUGUCAUUCUGUCUCCUGGAAGGUUAUUCACUGUGUCAUUCUGUCUCCUGGAAGGUUAUUCACUGUGUCAUUCUGUCUCCUGGAAGGUUAUUCACUGUGUCAUUCUGUCUCCUGGAAGGUUAUUCACUGUGUCAUUCUGUCUCCUGGAAGGUUCUUCACUGUGUCAUUCUGUCUCCUGGAAGGUUAUUCACUGUGUCAUUCUGUCUCCUGGAAGGUUCUUCACUGUGUCAUUCUGUCUCCUGGAAGGUUAUUCACUGUGUCAUUCUGUCUCCUGGAAGGUUAUUCACUGUGUCAUUCUGUCUCCUGGAAGGUGGUUCACUGUCUCACCUCCACUAGUGUGGUCCCAGAUCUGUUUGUGA